GAUGAACGCUGGCGGCAUGCCUAAGACAUGCAAGUCGAACGCGAGGGCCCAUUGAUAAUGAAGGAAAUGGAAAGUGCUUGCGCUUAAAAUGGAAUUCAUUUGAUUUGGAUUUUCCCUCGAGUGGCAAACGGGUGAGUAACACGUGGGUUACCUGCCUCUAUGUUGGGGAUAACAGUUGGAAACGAUUGCUAAUACCGAAUGUGCUCUUCGGAGUAAAGGAGCCUUUAAAGCUCCGCGUAGAGAUGGGCCUGCGGCGCAUUAGCUAGUUGGUGGGGCAAUGGCCUACCAAGGCAACGAUGCGUAGCCGAGCUGAGAGGUUGAUCGGCCACACUGGGACUGAGACACGGCCCAGACUCCUACGGGAGACAGCAGUUAGGAAUAUUCGUCAAUGGGGGAAACCCUGAACGAGCAAUGCCGCGUGUGUGAUGAAGGCCCUAUGGGUUGUAAAACACUGUUGUUUGGAAAGAAUUGCAUAAGUAGGAAAUGACUUAUGCUUGACGGUACCAUUCAAGAAAGCCACGGCUAACUACGUGCCAGCAGCUGCGGUAAUACGUAGGUGGCGAGCGUUGUCCGGAAUUACUGGGUGUAAAGGGAGCGCAGGCGGGUAUGCAAGUUGGGAGUGAAAUACAUGGGCUCAACCCAUGAACUGCUCUCAAAACUGUGUAUCUUGAGUAGUGCAGAGGUAGGCGGAAUUCCCGGUGUAGCGGUGGAAUGCGUAGAUAUCGGGAGGAACACCAGUGGCGAAGGCGGCCUACUGGGCACCAACUGACGCUGAGGCUCGAAAGUGUGGGUAGCAAACAGGAUUAGAUACCCUGGUAGUCCACACCGUAAACGAUGAUUACUAGGUGUUGGAGGAUAGACCCCUUCAGUGCCGCAGUUAACACAAUAAGUAUCCCACCUGGGGAGUACGAUCGCAAGGUUGAAACUCAAAGGAAUUGACGGGGGCCCGCACAAGCGGUGGAGUAUGUGGUUUAAUUCGACGCAACGCGAAGAACCUUACCAAGUCUUGACAUCCUGCGACGAGUACAGAAAUGUGCUUUUCCUUCGGGACGCAGAGACAGGUGGUGCAUGGUUGUCGUCAGCUCGUGUCGUGAGAUGUUGGGUUAAGUCCCGCAACGAGCGCAACCCUUAUGGAUAGUUACUACGCAAGAGGACUCUAUUCAGACCGCCGUUGACAAAACGGAGGAAGGUGGGGAUGACGUCAAAUCAUCAUGCCCUUUAUGACUUGGGCUACACACGUACUACAAUGGCGUUCAACAAAGAGAAGCGAAAUCGCGAGAUGGAGCAAAACUCAAAAACAACGUCCCAGUUCAGAUUGCAGGCUGCAACUCGCCUGCAUGAAGUCGGAAUUGCUAGUAAUCGCAGAUCAGCAUGCUGCGGUGAAUACGUUCCCGGGCCUUGUACACACCGCCCGUCACACCAUGAGAGCCGGGGGGACCCGAAGUCGGCAGUCUAACCGCAAGGAGGACGCCGCCGAAGGUAAAACUGGUGAUUGGGGUGA
rnacentral:rRNA from 1 species